GACCGGCGGCGCCUUGCAACGGGUUUGGAACAGAUUUCCCCUCUCGAGCAGGACAGAUACAAAGUAUAGACAGUACCCCAGGGCUCCUCAGAAUCUUUGCUUCUUGUGCGAUUAAAACGAAGAUGAAGGUCUAUAAUGGUUUUACCGCAAGAAACCCCCCAAAGGAAUACACCUGUUUUCCUUCCCGUUACUGUGACACCAGAAGCCAUAUCAUGCGGAGUAUACAUCUAAAUGAUAAACCCGGAGGGUAUGACGGGUCACCAUAACAUUACUACAGAUCACAUCACGGGGAGACAAACUUCAAGGUUCACAUCUCAGAAAGGAUCUGAGUCCCGAGGCUGCUCCUCCCUCUAAGUCCCGAGGCUGCUCCUCCCUCUGAGUCCCGAGGCUGCUCCUCCCUCUGAGACCCGAGGCUGCUCCUCCCUGCUCCCAUGCCCUCCCUCUAAGUCCCGAGGCUGCUCCUCCCUCUAAGUCCCGAGGCUACUCCUCCCUGCUCCCAUGCCCUCCCUCUAAGUCCCGAGGCUGCUCCUCCCUGCUCCCAUGCCCUCCCCAGGUGCAGUGAUGAUG